rnacentral:rRNA from 1 species
UACGGGAGGCAGCAGUGGGGAAUAUUGCACAAUGGGCGCAAGCCUGAUGCAGCCAUGCCGCGUGUAUGAAAAAGGCCUUCGGGUUGUAAAGUACUUUCAGUCGUGAGGAAGGUGUUAAGGUUAAUAACCUUAGCAAUUGACGUUAGCGACAGAAGAAGCACCGGCUAACUCCGUGCCAGCAGCCGCGGUAAUACGGAGGGUGCGAGCGUUAAUCGGAAUUACUGGGCGUAAAGGGCACGCAGGCGGUUAAUUAAGUUGGAUGUGAAAUCCCCGGGCUUAACCUGGGAAUGGCAUUCAAGACUGGUUAGCUAGAGUCUUGUAGAGGGGGUAGAAUUCCAUGUGUAGCGGUGAAAUGCGUAGAGAUGUGGAGGAAUACCGGUGCGAAGGCGGCCCCUGGACAAAGACUGACGCUCGAUGUGCGAAAGCGUGGGGAGCAAACAGGGAUUAGAUACC